rnacentral:rRNA from 1 species
UACGGAGGGUGCAAGCGUUAUCCGGAUUCACUGGGUUUAAAGGGUGCGUAGGAGGGCAGGUAAGUCAGUGGUGAAAUCUUUGGGCUUAACCCGAAAACUGCCAUUGAUACUAUCUGUCUUGAAUGCGGUGGAGGUGAGCGGAAUAUGUCAUGUAGCGGUGAAAUGCUUAGAUAUGACAUAGAACACCGAUUGCGAAGGCAGCUCGCUACACCUGCAUUGACUCUGAGGUACGAAAGCGUGGGGAUCAAACAGG